AUUGAACGCUGGCGGCAGGCUUAACACAUGCAAGUCGAGCGGAGAUGAGGUGCUUGCACCUUAUCUUAGCGGCGGACGGGUGAGUAAUGCUUAGGAAUCUGCCUAUUAGUGGGGGACAACAUUCCGAAAGGGAUGCUAAUACCGCAUACGUCCUACGGGAGAAAGCAGGGGAUCUUCGGACCUUGCGCUAAUAGAUGAGCCUAAGUCGGAUCAGCUAGUUGGUGGGGUAAAGGCCUACCAAGGCGACGAUCUGUAGCGGGUCUGAGAGGAUGAUCCGCCACACUGGGACUGGGACACGGCCCAGACUCCUACGGGAGGCAGCAGUGGGGAAUAUUGGACAAUGGGGGGAACCCUGAUCCAGCCAUGCCGCGUGUGUGAAGAAGGCCUUAUGGUUGUAAAGCACUUUAAGCGAGGAGGAGGCUACUGAGACUAAUACUCUUGGAUAGUGGACGUUACUCGCAGAAUAAGCACCGGCUAACUCUGUGCCAGCCGCCGCCGUAAUAC
rnacentral:rRNA from 1 species